UACGUAGGGGGCAAGCGUUAUCCGGACUCACUGGGUGUAAAGGGAGCGUAGACGGCCAUGCAAGCCUGGAGUGAAAGCCCGGGGCCCAACCCCGGGACUGCUCUGGGAACUGUGCGGCUGGAGUGCGGGAGGGGCAGGCGGAAUUCCUGGUGUAGCGGUGAAAUGCGUAGAUAUCAGGAGGAACACCGGCGGCGAAGGCGGCCUGCUGGACCGCGACUGACGUUGAGGCUCGAAAGCGUGGGGAGCAAACAGG
rnacentral:rRNA from 1 species